rnacentral:rRNA from 1 species
GUGGGGAAUUUUGGACAAUGGGCGCAAGCCUGAUCCAGCAAUGCCGCGUGCAGGAAGAAGGCCUUCGGGUUGUAAACUGCUUUUGUACGGAACGAAACGGCUCUGGUUAAUACCCGGGGCUAAUGACGGUACCGUAAGAAUAAGCACCGGCUAACUACGUGCCAGCAGCCGCGGUAAUACGUAGGGUGCGAGCGUUAAUCGGAAUUACUGGGCGUAAAGCGUGCGCAGGCGGUUUUGUAAGAUCGAUGUGAAAUCCCCGGGCUCAACCUGGGAACUGCAUUGGUGACUGCAAGGCUGGAGUGCGGCAGAGGGGGAUGGAAUUCCGCGUGUAGCAGUGAAAUGCGUAGAUAUGCGGAGGAACACCGAUGGCGAAGGCAAUCCCCUGGGCCUGCACUGACGCUCAUGCACGAAAGCGUGGGGAGCAAACAGGAUUAGAUACCCUAGUAGUCC